rnacentral:tRNA from 1 species
UCCGGUGUAGCUCAGUGGUAGAGCAGUUGACUGUUAAUCAAUUGGUCGUUGGUUCGAACCCAUCCACCGGAGCCA